rnacentral:rRNA from 1 species
GAUUGAGUUUGAUCCUGGCUCAGGACGAACGCUGGCGGCGUGCCUAAUACAUGCAAGUCGAGCGAAUCUGAGGGAGCUUGCUCCCAAAGAUUAGCGGCGGACGGGUGAGUAACACGUGGGUGAUCUGCCCUGCACUUCGGGAUAAGCCUGGGAAACUGGGUCUAAUACCGGAUAUGACUUCAGGUUGCAUGACUUGGGGUGGAAAGAUUUAUCGGUGCAGGAUGGGCCCGCGGCCUAUCAGCUUGUUGGUGGGGUAAUGGCCUACCAAGGCGACGACGGGUAGCCGACCUGAGAGGGUGACCGGCCACACUGGGACUGAGACACGGCCCAGACUCCUACGGGAGGCAGCAGUGGGGAAUAUUGCACAAUGGGCGAAAGCCUGAUGCA